AACUAAAACAAUUUUUGAAGAACAGUUUCUGUACUAUAU
rnacentral:misc_RNA from 1 species